GCAGUUGAGCGCUGAAGGUUGGUACUUGUACCGACUGGAUGAGCAGCGAACGGGUGAGUAACGCGUGGGGAAUCUGCCUUUGAGCGGGGGACAACAUUUGGAAACGAAUGCUAAUACCGCAUAAAAACUUUAAACACAAGUUUUAAGUUUGAAAGAUGCAAUUGCAUCACUCAAAGAUGAUCCCGCGUUGUAUUAGCUAGUUGGUGAGGUAAAGGCUCACCAAGGCGAUGAUACAUAGCCGACCUGAGAGGGUGAUCGGCCACAUUGGGACUGAGACACGGCCCAAACUCCUACGGGAGGCAGCAGUAGGGAAUCUUCGGCAAUGGACGAAAGUCUGACCGAGCAACGCCGCGUGAGUGAAGAAGGUUUUCGGAUCGUAAAACUCUGUUGGUAGAGAAGAACGUUGGUGAGAGUGGAAAGCUCAUCAAGUGACGGUAACUACCCAGAAAGGGACGGCUAACUACGUGCCAGCAGCCGCGGUAAUACGUAGGUCCCGAGCGUUGUCCGGAUUUAUUGGGCGUAAAGCGAGCGCAGGUGGUUUAUUAAGUCUGGUGUAAAAGGCAGUGGCUCAACCAUUGUAUGCAUUGGAAACUGGUAGACUUGAGUGCAGGAGAGGAGAGUGGAAUUCCAUGUGUAGCGGUGAAAUGCGUAGAUAUAUGGAGGAACACCGGUGGCGAAAGCGGCUCUCUGGCCUGUAACUGACACUGAGGCUCGAAAGCGUGGGGAGCAAACAGGAUUAGAUACCCUGGUAGUCCACGCCGUAAACGAUGAGUGCUAGAUGUAGGGAGCUAUAAGUUCUCUGUAUCGCAGCUAACGCAAUAAGCACUCCGCCUGGGGAGUACGACCGCAAGGUUGAAACUCAAAGGAAUUGACGGGGGCCCGCACAAGCGGUGG
rnacentral:rRNA from 1 species